CAUCCCUCCUAUGCUGAGCUUUCACAUUCUCCUACCAAAGAUUAGCGUAAUCAGUGAAUUCAAGGGCAGCAAGUUUACAUUUUUUUACCUCAGAAUAGUCUUGACAUUCAAAGACCUUCUCCACAUGUUGCCCCCAUUCCAGAUAUUCUUCGGAUGAGUUGGUUCCUUUAAAGGAUGGGAUCUUCAUCUUAAUAUUAUCUCCUAAACUCU
rnacentral:lncRNA from 1 species